rnacentral:rRNA from 1 species
AUUGAACGCUGGCGGCAGGCCUAACACAUGCAAGUCGAGCGGAUGAAGGGAGCUUGCUCCUGGAUUCAGCGGCGGACGGGUGAGUAAUGCCUAGGAAUCUGCCUGGUAGUGGGGGAUAACGUCCGGAAACGGGCGCUAAUACCGCAUACGUCCUGCGGGAGAAAGUGGGGGAUCUUCGGACCUCACGCUAUCAGAUGAGCCUAGGUCGGAUUAGCUAGUUGGUGGGGUAAAGGCCUACCAAGGCGACGAUCCGUAACUGGUCUGAGAGGAUGAUCAGUCACACUGGAACUGAGACACGGUCCAGACUCCUACGGGAGGCAGCAGUGGGGAAUAUUGGAAAAUGGGCGAAAGCCUGAUCCAGCCAUGCCGCGUGUGUGAAGAAGGUCUUCGGAUUGUAAAGCACUUUAAGUUGGGAGGAAGGGCAGUAAGUUAAGACCUUGCUGUUUUGACGUUACCAACAGAAUAAGCACCGGCUAACUUCGUG